CGAAGGAAGGUGACGAUAACGCCAAAGAUGAUGACGACGACGACGACCAGGAGGACGAUAUGAGGCUCGUCGUCUGCUCGAGACGCGGAUCACUUGAAGACUCUUGGUGGACGCUAGGUUGGAGGAAAGAAAGGAAUUUUUUGCCAUCACGGCUUGGUUACAAUCCCCCUCCACGAUACAGACCAAGACGUGUGUGUGAGAGAGAGAAGCUUCUUGGGUAAAAAGUUUUGUAAAAUGUAGCCAACUGUUGGAUUGGUUAUAACAACAAUUAAGCCGACCCCUCUCUCCCUCGUCGUCUUGCCUUAGCUAGUUACCUGAGAAGCCAAGAUCUCUUUGUGCUGUAUCGAGCUUAUAUAAUGUUCUUAUUCCCAUUCCUCUCUCCAGCAUGCAUACUACAGAUGCACUACAAUGGACCGCAAGCAAGCAGGUAUUCUAUUUUUCGUGGGUACCUAGUCGUCGCUGAUUCGCCCAACCACGCCACACACGGACGCAAGAAACAACAAAGCGCCCCAGGGCACCCAACUUGUCUGUAACCUAAAGUAUAUCGUCCCAACGAGUCCUCCCUUGCCCACAAUUGCUUUUGUCCACAAGCGAUGUACAUGCACAAGAAAUUCUCCACCAUCGUCGUUGGUUCUUUUCCCACUAUCACCUCAUAUUAUCAUCCCCUCAAACUCGUACUCUGCUUUACUUUACCUGGCCGGGCCUUCUCCUCCCAUUGUUGUAUAUCUUGCCGUGUGAGCACAGGCAACAAUGGGACACCCUUCUCGCCGACUCUUCUGGCUUGGUCGCUUGCUGUUUAUCAGCACAUAGCUCUCGUUCUUGCUCGCCUUACUCACGGACAAAACCUUUUCCAAGCCAAGAACCUCUUGAAAUAAUGCAGCAAUAACCACUCCGUCUGGCACUGUAACACAACCUCUAAAUUGCCUCCGCUUGGCCAAUGGGAGUGAGAUGAAUGUUCAGAUGGACAGAUGUUCAUCCUUCUUGAACAAAACCACGCCGGUUCUUCCAAUGCCGCUGCUCCUUACGAGGUCCGCAUUUUGGCAAUAACACGUCUUCACCACAAUCAACAAUGCUCAACCAACCGGUGAGAGAGAUGCACCUAAUGGGUGAUGACCACAAUGCAAAAAUGCACACACAAUCAUGUUCUCACGGAAUAAACGUCUGUUUUUUAGCCGUCUUAAGAAGGAAAAAUCUCCAUGCUCGACAGUGUCGCAUCACAAACUGCAGUGAAACACGGAAUAUUAGUGCAAAGUCAUCCAAUCCAGAUAAUCCACAAUCCGGAGGAGACGAUGAUAAAACAAGACGAAGACGCAACAUAUCACCAUCACCCUGUUACGAAAGUAGCGUUUCCAAGCACUUGUGCACACAAAAAUAAUCCUCACUACUUGCUGUAUCAAAAUCAGAAUAUAUGUAUGUACUUAUGUUGUGUGAAAUGAACACGAACUGCUCUGGAAAUGCAGAGUCGACUCUGAAAUCGUUCAAGUGGUGCCAAUGAACCUCUCCUCAGCAGCCCCACAAUAAACCAGCCGAGUGCUGACUGACUGACUGGAUGGACGGACGACUGGACUUUGCUAUAAGCAUUUAUAUAUUGCCACACAACAGCACAUAAUAAUAUCCGUUCGUCUCCAGUUCUCUUAUCUUUACCACUUGCUUUGGGUCUCUCUCCCCUCAUCUCACUCCUCUCAGGCUCAAUUUUCUCUCAAAUAUCCUUAAUUUCUUUAACUUACACUACUUACUACAUUACUCACUCUGGCUGGAGAAGAAGGAUGACUACUCUGAUGACGAUAUGACAGCAGCAUACUUACUGCAACAUUAUAUGACGUGAUCGUGAUGAAGAGAGAACGGGAGAUAACUACUUGUCUGGACUGAUGCUGGAAGAGGAACUGGAACAAUUUUACAACUCUAAUAAUAAUCCACACGACCAUUUUCCAAGUCUAAAUAAACGUCUCGAUGUACUAAUAA